CAAUUUUAUCAGAACUCAGCUAUUUUAAUAUCUAUAAUACCACUCAGUUUGAUUAUGGAAGUGGGUGAAAAUCCCACACUGUCCUCGCAACGGUAUUUGCAAUCGCAUCAGUCCGACACAUAGCCUAAUUUUUUUAACAUC
rnacentral:ncRNA from 2 species